AUUGAACGCUGGCGGCAGGCUUAACACAUGCAAGUCGAGCGGAGAUGAGGUGCUUGCACCUUAUCUUAGCGGCGGACGGGUGAGUAAUGCUUAGGAAUCUGCCUAUUAGUGGGGGACAACAUUCCGAAAGGAAUGCUAAUACCGCAUACGCCCUACGGGGGAAAGCAGGGGAUCUUCGGAUCGUGCGCUAAUAGAUGAGCCUACGUCGGAUUAGCUAGUUGGUGGGGUAAAGGCAUACCAAGGCGACGAUCUGUAGCGGGUCUGAGAGGAUGAUCCGCCACACUGGGACUGAGACACGGCCCAGACGCCUACGGGAGGCAGCAGUGGGGAAUAUUGGACAAUGGGCGGAAGCCUGAUCCAGCCAUGCCGAGUGUGUGAAGAAGGCCUUUUGGUUGUAAAGCACUUUAAGCGAGGAGGAGGCUACCUGGAUUAAUACUCUAGGAUAGUGGACGUUACUCGCAGAAUAAGCACCGGCUAACUCUGUGCCAGCAGCCGCGGUAA
rnacentral:rRNA from 1 species